rnacentral:rRNA from 1 species
GAUGAACGCUGGCGGCGUGCCUAAUACAUGCAAGUCGAGCGAACAGACGAUGAGCUUGCUCCUCUGACGUGAGCGGCGGACGGGUGAAUAACACGUGUAUAACCUACCUAUAAGACUGGUAUAACUUCGGAAAACCGGAUCUAAUACCGUAUAAUAUAUUGAACCACAUGGUUCAAUAGUGAGAGACGGUGUUGCGGGCACGUAUAGCUGGAUCCACGCCGGAUUAGCUAGUUGGUAAGGUAACGGCUUACCAAGGGAACGAUGCGUAGCCGAGCUGAGAGGGGGAUAGGCCACAUUGGAACGGAGACAGGGUCAAGACUCCUACGGGAGGCACCAGUAGGGAACGUUCCGCAGCGGGCGAAAGCAUGACGGAGUAACGCGGAGUGAGAGAUGACGGUCUUCGGAUCGUAAAACUCUGUUAUUAGGGAAGAACAAAUGUGUAAGUAACUAUGCACGUCUUGACGGUACCUAAUAAGAAAGCACCGGCUAACUACGUG